rnacentral:lncRNA from 1 species
AAGCAAUUCUCCUGGCUCAGCCUCCCAAGUAGCUGGGAUUACAGUGUACCACACCAAGGAACUCCCACACUCUGAAUGAACAGCCCAGUGAUCAGGAGCUUUGAAUCAAUUCUUGGCACCUAACAGUUUGUGAAGAGUCUGCUAAACUCCCUCUAUCAGAAAUCCCAGAGGACUGAGAACAGGUCAUCCUUGGAGCUGUAUCUGAAUGGAGUCAGGAUCUGGAAGCCCAAGUCUCCUUGUCAAUGUCUGCUUGGUUCCCAAGGACACCUGUAAAUGGAAGAGGGGCAUAGUACACAGAAGACAUUGCUGGCAAGUGUGGUCUCUUUACGAUCAGAAACUAUUCUUAAGACCGGACGCGGUGGCUCAUGCCUG